rnacentral:rRNA from 1 species
AGCGAACGCUGGCGGCAGGCCUAACACAUGCAAGUCGAACGAACCUUUCGGGGUUAGUGGCGGACGGGUGAGUAACACGUGGGAACGUGCCUUUAGGUUCGGAAUAACUCAGGGAAACUUGUGCUAAUACCGAAUGUGCCCUUCGGGGGAAAGAUUUAUCGCCUUUAGAGCGGCCCGCGUCUGAUUAGCUAGUUGGUUGAGGUAAUGGCUCACCAAGGCGACGAUCAGUAGCUGGCCUGAGAGGAUGAUCAGCCACAUUGGGACUGAGACACGGCCCAAACUCCUACGGGAGGCAGCAGUGGGGAAUCUUGCGAAAUGGGCGAAAGCCUGACGCAGCCAUGCCGCGUGAAUGAUGAAGGUCUUAGGAUUGUAAAAUUCUUUCACCGGGGACGAUAAUGACGGUACCCGGAGAAGAAGCCCCGGCUAACUUCGUG